rnacentral:rRNA from 1 species
UGGUAAUGAUGGCAGAGAGGUCACACCCGUUCCCAUACCGAACACGGAAGUUAAGCUCUCUAGCGCCGAUGGUAGUUGGGACCUUGUUCCUGUGAGAGUAGGACGUUGCCAGGCU